GGGCAGUAGGCGAUGUAGGGUUAUGCGCCACGACACAGGUCGUGAACAUCGGUUCGAGUCCGAUACUGUCCACCA
rnacentral:tRNA from 1 species